rnacentral:rRNA from 1 species
UACGGAGGGUGCGAGCGUUAAUCGGAAUUACUGGGCGUAAAGCGCAUGCAGGUGGUUUGUUAAGUCAGAUGUGAAAGCCCGGGGCUCAACCUCGGAAUAGCAUUUGAAACUGGCAGACUAGAGUACUGUAGAGGGGGUAGAAUUUCAGGUGUAGCGGUGAAAUGCGUAGAUAUAUGGAGGAACACCAGUGGCGAAGGCGACUCUCUGGACAGAUACUGACACUCAGAUGCGAAAGCGUGGGGAGCAAACAGG